rnacentral:lncRNA from 1 species
AGGCUGUGAGGUGAGCAGAGUCCAUAGCUGCUUUGCCUCUGCUCGUGCUGAGUAGCACACCUGCCGUGAGUGACUGACCAACUUGGCCAGGCACAGAGGGCAGGAGGGGAGGGGCCUCGGGGUGCAGGGGGUGACAGGUGAGUUGGGGCAUUUUCCACAGUGCAUGCAUGCUGCAUUUUAUCUGAUGCUCACAGCUACCCUCAGAGAGAACCUGAGGCCCAGAGGAGUUGAGGGACUCCCAUUCAGUUCACCUGUGCUGGGCUUAGGUCCUUGGUGUCCAGGCUGCAGCCAUGGCUGGACCACUUGCUUGCCCUCCAAGGCUUUGGGAGGCUAUAGGGGGUGGCGGGAGGCCUGUGGGCCCAGCAGUCACCUGACCUGGGCUCAAAUCUCAGCCGGGCCAGGGACCAACAGUGUGACCUUGGGUCCUCCUUCGAUGGGAGGUUAAUCAUGCCCACCUCGCCAGGCUGUUGGGAGGCUCAGUGAGAGGCGGCGGAGGCCAUCUCCACCCCUGGAACUCUCAAGGGAGUUCUUGUGACUUUCACAAGUAACUGCUAAGUUGCUGUUGCUGAAUCAAAUUCCUGGAGAGCCAGGAAGUAUGUCUGUGGGUGGGAGAGACGUCUGGCACUUCCAGGGGGGCCCCAAGGCUUCCUUCCCACAUGCCUGCCUCCCCCAGCGCCUGGCAGCCCUUGAGAGGGAAGGUAACAGAGGGGCCCAGAGGGUCUGGAACUUACCAUGCCCCUGCUUCCUGCCCACUGUACCUGUCUGCACCCCUGGUUUCCCUGUCUGCAGUUCUGAGUUCAGUAAACGUGGUUUUACUUUCUUUAUAGCACCUGUCGCCACCCAAACUUCUCUGGAUUAUUGAUUGUAUUGUCACUAUUGUCUGCUUCCUCAUCCCCUCCUAGAGUGGCAGUCAUGGAGCAGGGACUUUGUUCACUGCUUUGUGUUGUUGACUGCUGUAGCUCCUGCACCUAGAGCAGUGCCUGGCACACAGCAGGAGUUCAGUCAGUAUUUGCGGCAGGAAGGAAGGAAGGGACAGAGGGAGGGAGAGAGGGUGGAAAUUGUGGGUCCUCUGUGGUCAGCCCUUUGCUGCAAUUGGGGAUGUUGCCUUAGGUUAGAGCCCAACCCUGCUGACAGAGGCUUCCCCUCCAGUGCCAGAGGCAGACACAGACACAGACAGUGACUGUGGGUGUGACCAGCACUGCGACAGAGGGAAGGAGGCACUCUGGCUGGGGAAGCCAGGGCAGAUGGCAUCUGAUCUGCUUCAAGGAGUAGGCCGGGCUGGCUGGGGGCAGGGGGGUUGGGUGGGGGGCUGGGAAGCCUCAGAGAAGCAUCAGCUGAGAAGACAAGGCAAGGAAGAGUCAGGGGGACAAGGGAGGGGCAGCAUUCCAGGCAGAGAGAGCCGAGUGUGCAAAGGCAGGAAGGCAGGAAGGCUGUGUGGAGUUAGAGGCACCUGCUGCUGUCACUGAGUGCAGUGACUGGGAAGGUAGAGGUUGGUGGUGGGAGGGUCCCCUGAGAGAACGGUAGGGAUCUCACGGAACGCAGCAAAUCCAGGCUGUUUCUCUCCCAGUGCUCAAAGGCUCCUGACUGUGGAGAGCUAAAGCUGCCAGGAGCUGCCUGUGCUUGCCAAGUGGUUGCAGAUGUUUCCUCCCUACUGCUCUGACUUUGCCAGGUGAGCACAUUCUCCUGUCUGAGCUGGUAUCUCUGUCUCUCUCUGUUUCUGUCCCUCUCCUGAGAGAGUCUAGCCUUGGGGUCCAGGCCUGGCCUGGCCAGGGUGGCCGUGGGAUCUUGGAGCAGCCACCACUCCCCUUUCUGAGCCCAGGUUCCUCCUCAGAUGCACAGUGGGUGGGUCGUUAGCGCCUGGAAGGCCUCUCCUCCAGGACCUGGUGUUUUCACAGACGAAACAGACUUCAGAGCUAAUGCGUGCUUUGGUAUCUUCCAGCCAGGAGACACUGCUCAAUGGCCCCAGGAGGGGCCCAGGAAGGAUUCAUUCCAGCCUUGCUGGGGGUGGGAUCAGGUUUCUGGUCCUACUCUAGCCAGGUGGCCAUGGGGGAACCCUGAAGCCAGACACAUAGAUUCUGGUCUCUCACACACUCUCUUGGUGACCUCAGCAAGUUUCUACCUCUCCCCAGACCUCAGUCUUCCCUUUUAUAAAAUGGUUAUAAUAGCACCAGUCCCCUCUCUGCAGAGACAGGAGCCCUGCUCCUCGUCCCGGAUCUGGCAUUGGCUCACCUUAGGCAAGUCUGUUCCCUUUUUGGGCCUGUCUCCCCAUGUAUAUGUUGAGGGGUUGGACUUCAGGGCCUGUGAGAGGCCUUCCAACUUAGACUUUCUCCCCAGGAGCAUAAAUUCAGUGAAUCUACGUGACUCUCAGUGAUGGCAUCAUUGCCUAAUAUCCACCCAGCUUCUGCUUGAAAACUUCCAGAGAACUCCCCACAUCUCCACGGCUUCCUUCUACCUUCAGGUAGCAGGAAGUUCUCCCUCACACUGUACCUUUCUUCCUACAUCACCCAACCGCUGGGGUCAGUUCUGCCGCCACAGAACUCCAAACAAUUCAAUAGACCUUAGGUACUGGGCACCCUGGCCAGGCCUCAUGCCAGACUCCAGGAUCAUGGAGGAACCAGUGUUGUCCAGCAAGGACUGGACAGGCAUAAAGUCCUGUAGCUCUGUCUGACUCCAGACUCAAUAAUAAUCCCAGCUGCCACCGAUAGCCCCUUCUGGGUGCCCAGCCCUGCUGCCUCAUCAAAUACCAGCAAUAUCUACCUCACUGAAUCCCCACAACAACCCUGCCAGAUAGUAACUCUCAUCCCCAUGUUAUAGCUGAGAAAACUGAGGCCCACAGCAAUUAGAUAUCUUCCCAAAGGUCACACAGUUGGUAUGCGUGGAGCCUGAUUAAAACCAAUGUGGCUACUAGCCUCUCACUGGGCUCUGCUGCCUCUUGUUUGUCUCUCUGUUCCUGGCGUGCCCAGGUUUGGGGGCAGCCUCCUUCCACAGCCUCCUCAGAGCCAGCCCCUGGCUGCUUGUGCAUUUCCUAAGGCGAGGAAGCCCGGGCAGGAGGGUCCCAGGGAGGAUGGAGAGGAGACGGUGGGCCUGAACCCAGGGCUCAUGACCUGUGCCCUCUGGAGGGAUUCCAGGUAUCACCAGCAGCCUGGGGAGGUACACCCUUGUGUGGGGAGGAGGAACUCUUCCCAGCACCCUCAAAUUAUCCCUUAAAAUUAGCCUUGGCUGCAGUUAGGCUGGCAGUGGGCGAGGCCCUGGUCUGGGAGCCCAGAGUCUAAGCUGUAGUUUCAGUUGACCCCCUGAUGGUCAGUGUGACCUUGACCUUGGAUGGGGCCCUUCCCUUUUGGGACUUCAGAUUCCCUAUUUGCAGACGUGAAGAGGGGACAAGAUCUCCCAGCAACAUGCAGUGGCUGGAGCUGAAUCAAACCCUGUGUUGGUCGGAUCUAGAAGGGCGAAUGUGGUCAGAAUGUUCUCCCUCACCCCUCCCAGGUCUCUUGGCUGCCCUGGCUGGGCCCACCCCACAUCUUCGCAGUGGCAUGUCCUUUCAUUUAGGAAAGGAGUUUCCUUAGACAGGCAGACAGUGAUGGGGUGGGAGGCUUGGAAAGGGAUGAGAUCAGUGUGGCCCAGCUCCCUGCUGGAGUGGUGAACAGAGAGUGUCCUUGGGUCACACAGAUCAUUAACCAGCUGUGUGACCUUGAGCAGAGCUCUUAACCUGCUUGAACUUCGGUUUCUGUAUCUGUAAAACAGUGAUAAUAAUAGUACCUACUUUUGAAGGUUAUUAAUAGUGAGGAUAAAAUAAGGAUUAAAGGGAAGUGUGUCUAAAACACUUGGCGCAGAGCCUGGUAUGUAGUCAGCACUCAGAAAGUGUGGCCUUGAUGACAACAAUGAUGAUGGUGAAGAUGGGAAUGAGUGGGGAAAGGAUGGCGACAACCGUUGCGUUGAACAGUAUGAGACGCUGCUCAGCCUUCUCCGACAUACUGGGUACUUCCAUGCUUCCAGGCUUCACACUUGCCAUUUCUUCUCCCUUGCCAUCCCCCAAGACUUCUUCCAGCACAAAUGCAUCCUAAGUAAUGGAGUAACCAGGCCCUGUGGAUCUGAGCCUGGAGGAGCCCGGGGGCAGAUUAGAACCCAAUGGCUGUGCUCUGCAUGAGGUGGGAGCACCAGACUUGGAGGAAUUAAUAGAAGGUUUCCCAGGGGAGGCAGAGCUUAGCUGGAGUCUUGAUGAAGGAGUAGGAAUUGGCUGGAAGAAGAGAAUAGGAUUUCUUUUUUUCCAUUUAAAGCAGUCCAGGCAGAUGAAAUAACACGUGCAAAAGCAUAGAGGUGUGAAAUAGCAUGUUGAGCUUGGGAAACUGCAAGAAGCACAAUAUGGUGCGAGUGGGGAGAGGGAGAGAGGAAGACGGAAUGGGGAGGAUGUUUGGGGUGGAUCACGAAGAGCCUGUGUGCUACACCAGAUACUCAAAAUGUGCCUUGAAGGUGAUGGGGAGUUAUUCUUUUCAUCAUGCGACAAACAUUCCUGAGGACCUACUUGACCCAAGACAUCUUUGUAGCGGGCACUGCGAUGUGCUGCCAAUGCCUGUGCCUCCUACCCCCACACCUCCGCUGCUGAGAGUGCUGAUGGCAGGCAGCUUGCAGGUGAGACUCCUCCCACCACCGUCAUUGCCUCCUCACCUAAUGCCAUGGUCCCUCCAGGGCCAGCCUGCAUCCAGAGACUGGUUCACAUGGGGGUAUAAAAGCCCAGGCCCCUUGCCCCAACUUGGGACAACUAUGAAGAGUUUCCAGCUCCACAGCUCCCUGAGGGGCUGGCCGAGGCCUUUGUGGGGUUUGCCUCACAACCCAAUUUAUCCCUCUGGCCAAUUCUGCUUCAAUCACUCCCUGCCAGGUGUUGACCUUGAAUGUACUCCCCCAAUAAACCUCCUGCAAGCAAACCUUCAUCUCAGAGUCUCCUUCCCCAGGAACCAAACCUCCAAUGAUCAUUACUGAGGGAUGUCAAUGGUGGCUGACGUUUCACUGAGGGCUCAAUGAGAGACCCCGCUUUUGGAAGGUGAUUCUGUCUACAGUGUGAGAAUGAUGUGGAAGGACACACUGGAGUCCAGAGGCCAGUGGGAAGGUAGUUGUGAUUUAGCAGAGAAAUGAUGAAGGCACCAGGUGGGUGGGGGCAGGAAGGAGGGACAGAGCUAGGGGACAUAGAGGAAACAGCACUGCCAGAUAGAGACUGGGUAAUGAAGGAGUCUGCCAGGCAGAGGUGGAGGCAGUCCCUGGGAUGAGUUUAACUGGAGAAACUCAGUUCAAUUUGGGAGUUGUGAGAGUGCCAUUUGCAUGAAGUAUGAAGGUGGAAGGGCCGGGAGGUGGGUGAAGAGCCUCCAGGAGAUAAAUUGGAGCUGGAAGUGUGGAUCUGGGGUUAGCCAGCACUUUGUAGUUUACAGAGCAUUUAUUGGCACCCAUUUAGUUCAGUAUGGGCAGCAACCAAUCAGAAGGGUUGCCAGGAUCUUGAGGACCUUCUGAGGGGCUAGAUAUUAACCCCUUGGUUGCUGAAUCAUGGUGGGAAGGUUGGGGGAUGCUGGGUUGCAUGGCAGAGGCACUCAAGGGGCUCUGAGUCAUGGCUGUUUACCAAGCAGUAAGUUAGAAUCUGCAUGCCAGCUGAGUAUCAGCCCUACAGGUUCCUCUUAGAAUCCUCACAAGAACCUGUUGAGGCAGAUACUAUAAUCCCUUUCCCAAAAGAGGAAACCAGGGCUCAGUGAAGUAAGUAACUUUCCAGAAACCAGGCAGCUCUUAAACAGCAGAACUGGAGUUGAACCCAGGUCCGUCUGAGCCUGCAUCCCAUGGCUUUAAAUGUUGGAGUGGGAAUCAAAAUGCAGAAUUCUUGGCUCAUUUAACCAGGGGCCUUUCCUCUCACUCAAUGGCCACUUCCUGUAGUGAAUUCCAGAACGUCUGAUCAUGAGCCAGUUUCUCCUUCCAAGAAACAGGGUUGAGAAUGACCAGCCUUGUGGGGUGUGGGUGGAGUCAGACAACCCUACUGGGGGAGAGCACCAGCCUCUGCCCUGCAGGGUGUGACAGCUACUCCACCUGGAGGCAGAGGGCUGGACUCAGAGAUGCUGGGGCCUUCCUGGACCUGGAAUCUUCUGCUCCAUUAUGGCUCCAGGUGGCAUCUGGAUGCCAAAAAGAUACUCUGAUUGUUUGGUCGGCUGUGACUCAGAACAUGCAGAAUAACUUCCUUGUGGAACCUUGUUCAGGGAGUCUAGGAGAGUGUUAGCAGGGGGUGGAUGGGGAGGGAGAGGCCCAUCUGCAGUGCUCUGGUCUCCUGCUCCAGAACCCACCGGAAGUCUUGGGCAUGACCCGAAAGUGUGGCAGUGUCAGGUUUUUGAAAACACAACAUGUUUUCCUUUUCUUUUAACUUUUAAACUUCUCUGAGAAGAUUAUUUUACAAGCCAUUUUCUUACUCCUCUCCCAUCUCUCGGUCACAGUUUCAGCUUCAUGCCAACAGGGCUGUGGUAAUUAGGAAAGAGGACAAGUUCCCUCUGGCCACCCAUGGAAGAAGAAGUGACUGCAUGAGGAGGGGAUGGGGAGGGAGGAGGUGAAGCUUUCGUGAGCACCUUCUGCAGGGAGCCAGGCCUUAUGCAGAGUGCUUUGCAUAUCAUCUCCAUUUUUUUGCAUGAGGAGACUGAGAGAUAAAGUAAUAUGCACAUAGUUGGUAAUGAUUAUGCUAAUACGAAUAAAAUAGAUAAUUAUUAGGUGGAUCCAUUAUUCAAAAAACUGACAAUUCCUCAUGGUUUGACCUACUACAUGUCAUUCGGGCCUGCUACGUGCCUGCACAAUGCAAGAUGUUCUCUGUAAUUCUCACAAGAACUGUGCAAGGAAUGUGUUAUUUUGAUUUGAAAAGCUGAGGAAACUGAGGCUAAGACAGAUCAGGUGACUAUCCAGUUGCUCCUAGCAAGUCAGUAGUGGGACCGGUCCUUGAACUCAGGUCAGUUUCCAAAGCAGUGCAACAGCUGAAAAUCUAUGUGCUGAGUUUGCUAAUUUGACCAGCUCUUCUUAAGGUUAUAUUUGUCUUUGGGGGAUGGAAGCUGUCAUCAUGGAGAUGCAGGGCCCUGCUUGGGGUCAAGGUGGGAUUCAGGGACUUGGUCUUAUUAAUAUAAUUAUCUUAUGAUGAAGAAACAAAGCCCCAGUCACAUGGGGACAAGUCAUAGCCUGGAACUUCCAGGGCUCCUGAGGUGCAUGGGGAGGUAGGCAGAGCCAUUUAUCAAAAGAUCUGGUUUCAAUCCUGGUUCAGCUGUGAGCCCUGCCCACCCUGGGCCUCGCUUCCUCAGCUACACAGAGACCACUGUAACCUCCAGCUCUAAGGUUUGGUGAAUCUGGGCAGAGUCACAGCUGGGAACUCCUGUCCUCUACCCCCUGCCCUGUGCCACCUGAGUCCCACCUUACCUGGGUCCAGAGCUUUAGCCAAGCCCCAUGGGAAUGCCUCUGUGCUUCUAUUUUCCUUCAGAACCUUAAAGAUGCUUCCUUAUUUUCCUGCACUCAGUUACCACCCACUGCCCUUGGCCUGAUUUAAUGACUGCCCCAAAGCCUGUCUGAGCUUAUGACCUCCCGGUGCUCAGACUUGCUGUGAGGUUAAUGGUGCUGGUAGCACUGAUCUGAGGGGUCCAGGCAUAGUGGGGGCAGCUGAGAGCCCACAUGGAUAUGUGAGGGGAUGAGGGCCGCCUCUGCAAUGUGCUUUCCCCUCCUGACACCUCAGCAAGCCUGAGACACAGGACUGCUCCGUUCUCAAUUGGUGCCGCAUCUCAGCCCAGAUCCUCCAGCCUGGCAGGGAGAGGAGGAAAUUUGCCUCCUACUUCCAUCUCUGGUCAUUUUUGUUAGCUCAGUUGGUUAGUGGGCUUUCAAAAUGACUUAUUACAAGACUCUAUAUGUUUGUAUCUCAGUUUUUGUGAUAUGCAUGGACCUCUAAAUCUCAAAGCCCAGGCCCCUUAUGGGUCUGAGCAGGUGGAAAUGUGAGCCUUCCACAGAUGCCAGAGGGGAGACGCUGGUGCUCGAGCUACCAGUGGGAAUGAGGGGCAGCAGGGGAUGCCCUUAUAGACUGAAGGUGACCUAGGCCAAUGCCCUGGCCCUCUGUACCUCUCCCACCUCCAGAACAGAAAUACACUCCAAAUACGAGUGGGGAAAAGCCCUGAAUUGUCUGAGGGAACGCUGAACUGACCAGCAUCAUGCCCAUCAGCACCAGAGUUAAGCAUUAAGGUGACGCUUCUGCGUCCACAAGCUUGGUUGCUUGACGGAGCUCAGCCCUUGCUCCACACGGAGCCUUUGUCAGUUCUCUGCAGUGAGCACCUGCCAUUCUGCAGUGAUGGGCACACACAUCACAGCAAAGCCCCUUCUGGCUGGAAGCUUCACUCUUCUUUUGGAGUGGGGUCUAAAAACAGACCCCCGUUUGUUCAGGACCAUGAAAUUUCCCACAUAACAGAGCUCUAUAUCCUGCUCACCUGCUGCCCCUGCACCCCCAAACUCACUUGCUAGCAGAUUGAGUUGGGGCAUAUAUUAUUGGCUAUGAGUAUGUGUGACUGUGGCCUUGGCUGUGAGUGCAACUGUGAGCAGGGCUUUUGUGUGAGGACGUGUGCAUGUGUGUGCCCAUGCAAGGAAUUUCAUGAGAUUAAGUCAGAUAAGCUCGAAUGAAGACCCAGCAAGUGCUACAUGCCUAUCAGCCUCUGAGUCAGGGUGUGUGUUCAAAUGAGGAUCCCAACAGUUAGCCUGUUGGUAGGCCGGUUCAGUGGCUGUGAGCCAAAAGGCUCUCAGCCUUGUUUUUGUUUUUUGUCUUUUGGGUUUUUUUUCUUUUGCAGGGUUUGUUGGUGUCUUGGGGUAAGAGGCUCUUCAGGCUGAAAGGUGAGCGGAGGCUGUCAGAAGCUGGGGAGAUCUGGGUCACCCAAAGCAAACAUGAGCCCUUACUCAGAUCUCACAGCAAAGACCACCCCUGGAUCUGUCCAUGCAGAGGCCCAGGUCUCUGGUGAGAAAGGCAGAGGGGAGGAUCAAGCAUGGAAACUGGAGGGGGAAAGAACAGAACUCACAGGGGUAGACCAUUGGCUCUAAGACACCCGCGCUUGGGCCUUAAUGUACAGCUCAGUUAAUCUUCACCUUUGCCCUGAGAGGUUAAAUUAUUAUCCCCAUUUUACAGGGGAGAAAACAAGCUGGGAGAGGAGGAAUGACUUGCUCAUGGUUGUGCAGCUAGUAGAAAAUUCUACCCUCUUGUGGUGGCACCAUUGUUUCCUAAUACAAAACAGAGUCCUACUUCAAGGAAGUGGAGAGAAAAGGGGUAGAUUUGUAUUUUCCCAAAGGAUAGAGCAGGUGUCCACAUAAUGACUCCAAGAGUCUAAGAACCUGGGUGUUGGGGAAGCUGACUUGCUGGCAGAAGCACACAGGCUUUGGAGUCAGUGUCUGCAGCCUUCUGGUUGGGGUAAUCUUGAGCAAGUCAUUUUACUUCCCUGAGUCUCAGUUUUCUCAUCUAUAAAAUAGGGGUAAUGAUACGCUAUUCUAUCUUCAUCAGAUUGUAAUGAGAAUUACAUGAGAUGCUGUGUGGGAAGCAUUUAACACGAGGCCUGGCAGAAUACUCUGCUGUGGUUGUCAUCUCUAGGGUUAGGAUAUAGGUCUCUUUGGUAUGAGAGAGCCACACUCAGGGAGAGUAAAUGGCAAGGUGUCCCCAGGGAGGAAAAGACCUGGACAGUGACCAAAGUUGCCUUGUGUUGCAAACAGUCUGUGGGGAGUUCUUUGUUUUCAUUCUUAUCCCACAGAGCUACUCCAUUUCUACACUCUCUAAUCACCUUUAAGCUUCAGAUAAACAACAGAAGAGUAGAGAGAACUGCCUGGCCCUUUUAAUCUCCUUGAAUCUCCACCCCACUCUCCUCCACAAUGCACUGGCCAUGGGAGGCCUUUGUUAGUUGGAAUGGCAGAAUGGCUUCCACUGCAUCUGGGAGGAUGCUGGGGCCUCCAGGUGGGCUGACUUCAGUAGCACCAAUACCAUGCUUCCAGGGGCAGUGCUGAAUUCUUAAAGCUCAUCCCUCAUCUCUUCCCUACUUUGUCCUGUUGCAGUCUGGCACACACACCAACCCCAUUGACCAUGACUUCCUUAAGGUCCCCACAGCUCCCUUAUCAAGUCUGGUGGACACAUCCUGCUCAGUCUUGACUAACUGGCCCUCUUAGUGCCUCUGGUGCUCUAUGCCUGCCUCUGCCUCAGAUGCUCCCCUUGGCACCCAUGUGAUUUGCUUCCUUUCCUCUUGCCGGGUCUUCCCUCUUCUCUAGGCUGCACCUCCUCAGUUGCCUCUGAGGGCUCCUCUGUCUCCGUGGCAUCCUCAUUAUGGCUGUAUCCAUGGCCUGGCCCUGGUCCCUACCUUCCUCACUCCACACCCUCUCCACCUUCUUCAGCCCAGAGCCUUGCUGCCUAGCUCCCCAGCUCCCCAGCUCCAGACCCACUGCUCUCUAGCCUUAGGACAGCUCCACUGGGAUGUCCCUAUGCCCUUCACACUCAGCCUGUGCAGAGAGGGACGGCCGAGACCCAGGCCUGCUCCUGCCACCUCCUUGCUCAAAACCCUCCAUCUACAAACACUUGAGAAAAUGAUUUGGCGUCACAUAUUCAAGUUGAACAUGCGCAUGCUCUCCAACCCACCAAGUCUACUCCUGGGAAUAUACCCAACAGGCAUGUGUACCAAAGACGCAUGCAAGGAUAUUCAGAGCACUAUGCAUAAUAGCCAAGAACUGGAGACCACCCAGUGCCCAUCAACAGACAGUGGCGGAUUCACACAAUGGAGUGCUACAAGCUACGGAGAUAGCUGCAAUAUUGAGAAAUCUCACAGACGUCCUGUUGAACAACAGAACACGACACAGUUCAUACUGUACACUUGCAUUUAUAAAGUUCAAAAAACAGGCAAAACAAACCUGUGGUACCAGAAGACAGGACAGUGGUCAGCCUUGGGGGCACAUAGUAACUGGCAGGGACCCGCAGGGGCUUCUGGGUGCUAGACGCCUGACAGAUUUUGAUCUGGAUGUUGGUUCCAUGGGUAUAUUCCUUGUGAAAAUUUACCAAGAUGCAUACUUAUGAUAGGUGAAUUUUUCUGUAUAUGUAUUACGCUUCAAUAAAAGGCUAAAAUAAAGAAAUAAAUAAAAUCUUCCAUGAGUCUUGAUUGCAUUCAAGAUAAAACCUGCA